AUUGAACGCUGGCGGCGUGCUUAACACAUGCAAGUCGAACGCGAAAGGGACUUCGGUCCUGAGUAAAGUGGCGCACGGGUGAGUAACGCGUGGAUAAUCUGCCCUUAUGACUGGAAUAACAGGUGGAAACGGCUGCUAAUAGCGGAUACGCUCAAAAGGAACUUCUUGAGGAACGAUGGCCCCUGCUUGCAUGCUAUCCCAUAAGGAUGAGUCCGCGUCCCAUUAGCUUGUUGGGGGGAUAACGGCCCACCAAGGCAUCGAUGGGUAGCCCAUUUGAGAGGAUGAUCGGCCACACUGGAACUGAAACACGGUCCAGACUCCUACGGGGGGCAGCAGUGGGGAAUAUUGCGCAAUGGGCGAAAGCCUGACGCAGCGACGCCGCGUGAGGGAUGAAGGUUUUCGGAUCGUACACCUCUGUCAGAAGGGAAGAAACUACGUUGUGCUAAUCAGCAGCGUACUGACGGUACCUUCAAAGGAAGCACCGGCUAACUCCGUGCCAGCCGCCGCAGUAA
rnacentral:rRNA from 1 species